rnacentral:lncRNA from 1 species
GUGGCCAUCCCAGCUGUGGCCAGCAGGUGGCAGUGUAUUCACACACCCCUCACGGCAGGGCCCCUCAGAAUGGAAGGCCACUCACUUGUCUAUUGUGUUUAAUAGGUGGAGACUCCUGGAAUUGGAAGGCUUUGGGGUGCUUCACUAGGGAUUGGCCCCAUCUGCCUGACCUGAGGUGACAGCAUUACCUCAGGAAGUUCUGGGACAGCUGUCUUGCCCCCAGCAAUGCCAGCUGACCCCACAUGAGGUCACAACAUGAACCCCAUGGACCUCCAGUAUCCAUCUUAAGUGGACAGCAUUCAGCUGGGUGCCACCAUGCCCUUGGCCUACCACCAGCCUAUGUAGCCCCAACCCACCUGCUUCCUCCCAGGACUGUCUGUGGAUACCACCAGGAGAAUGGGUUUGGGGCUUCUGUUCCAUCAGACAGAACUCACCCACUUAGUACUUUCUUUGUUCCUUGCUGACCCUGUGUUCUCCCCUCCUGCUGACCCUGUGUACAUUCAGCCUACACUUCUCAGGCCCUGCUAGAAGGCUGGUUCCCUGCUAGGUUUGGCUAUUGGCCAUCAGCCCAAAUUCCUGUUAGGAAAGAGGGAGUUCAGGGACACAGGCUUCUGGGUUUGGGGAGUUGGCCUGCCAGUCGUUUGGAGGCUUAAAUUUGUCAUAUCCGGAGCAGGAUCUUCCUGUGCAGCCUUUGUAGGUCUUCUUUGGGCACCUUCCCACUUCCCUGAUAAGAUGCCAGACAUAAGGCCCUGUCAUCCUCUGUUAUCCCCCUUACUGCCCCAGGGCCAGGACUCUGCCAUGCCAGAUGGCAUCCCAUCUCCCAUCACCACUAUCCCAGUGUUGGGGGAACUCCCUGGGUUCAGCCUGCCCCAGCUGACCCCAAAGCUGGAAACAAUGGGGGUCAGGGCAGUGUUCUUCCACUCCCUUCCACUGGGCUGUGUUCACUUCCUUCCUGCUGGCUGCCUGAGGAAGUGUCCCUGCCCUGGGACUGUCUGGUCUGGCCUUUGUUUCCCCAGGAGAGACCAAAGUGGCAGAAGUAGCGGUUUUGCGCCCCAGAAUAUCCAACAGGAUACGGCCGCCUCACAAAAUGGCGCCUCGGUCGACGGCCGUCUCCUACCCACAGUACCUCGCGCCUGUCCCCUCCCCCACACCACCCGCCUCCCGAGGAGGCAUCCAAUCCGCGACGGUGUCUGGCUGCGCAAGGACUGCUGGGAAGUGUGGUCGCUAAGGCCUCCUGUCACUCACUACGCCCUGUGUUAAUUUCCUGCGUAUUUCUUUUUUCUUUUUUUUCAAAACCAAGGGCGAAGUUGCCAGUCUGCCAUUUGCAGACCCUGAUUAGAGCUCUUAUCUUUAUUGGCAAUUCUUUGUCUUUGCUACAAAGGCUUUAGAGAGCACAGUUUGCUUUCACUGAUAUAAUGUAGAAUAUCACGUUUAAUCUGGUUUUAAAAGAACUCACCUUAGUUGACUGAUUAUUAUAUCUUGACUCCAGAUUGUUGGGCUAGACGCUUUACAAAUAUUUAUUUUCAUUUUCGUAAUCUAUGAAGUGGCUAUUAAACCCCUUUGCAGGUGAGGAAAACGAAGUUUAUGGAAAUUAAGAGUUUUUAAAAUUAUAUUUUUGAGUAGCUUCGACACCAAACAUGGGGCUGGAACUGAUGAUUCCUAAGAUCAAGAGUGGUAUGCUCUACUGAGCCAGCCAGUCGCCUCCAAAUUAAGAUAAUUCCUUUUUUUUUUUUAAAUAAGCUUAUAUGUGUGUAUCUUUUAAAGAUUUUAUUUAUUUAUUUGACACCGAGAGAGAGAGCACAAGUAGGCAGAGUGGCAGGCAGAGGGAGAGGGAGAAGCAGGCUCUCUGAGCCCGAUGUGGGACUUGAUCCCAGGACUCUGGGAUCAUGACCUGAGCUGAAGGCAGACGCUUAAUCCACCGAGCCACCCAGGUGCCCAAAUUAAGAGCUUGAAGAAUGGUCUUCAGAGUGUCAUUGUAUUGAUAUUCUCUAGUCUAAGGCAAAGGCUCAGGAGUCAUUUUCCAGGGUUAAUUUAACAGUACUUGGGACAUCUAAUAGCAUCUCAAAGUUGCAGCCAAAACUCAACCUUAUCUCCUUCACAGUCUUCCUCAGCUCAGAAAUGGUGACUCCCUACUUCCAGUUACUCAGGACAAAAACCCUGGAGUCAUGGAGGACUUUUUUCCUUGUACCCAAUCUGUCAGUAAAUCCUGUUGACUCUACCUUCAAAAUAUAUCUAGGAUCUGUCCACAUCUGGCUCCCUAAAUUGCUGUUCAUCUAGUCAAAGCUAACAUCACUGCCCUUGUUUGAAAGACAGUACUUCACACAGAGUUCAUGGUUGUGGAACUGGGAUUUGAAUUAAUAAACUUGAUUUCAGAGACCAUGCCCUCAACUACUAGAAUGUAAACUCCAAAAGGGUAGGAAUUUAUGCCUCUUUAGUUCACUAUAUGAACUAAAUAUAAUACUAUAUGCCUGGCACAUGGUAUGUAUACAAUAGAUAUUUGUUGAAUACACAAAUGAAUCCACUAAGAAAGCAAGCUAAACUUUGGGGCAGAAAAAGGCAAGCUUUCUUGGAGAAUUAAGAGAUAUUCUGGACUGGGACUGGUUAGUGAGAUGGUGGUACUGCAGUGCCUCCAGUUAGCAUAAUUUGCCCCCUUGGCAUUAUUUGUAGAUAUAUUUUUAGUGGAACUGGUUUCUCAGGUCACAUAUACAGACAUGAAAAAUUAGACCAUGAUAAGGCAGAGGGAAGCUAUCAGUUAUAGAAAACCAUACUAUACUCCUCUCUUUCUGAGAGAUCUAUCAAGAAUAAUGGAAUGAUGUCAAGGAGUAGAUUCCAAACCAGAAGCUUCAAAUACACUGGAAAAUCUUUUUCUUGGAAAAACAUCCAGGAAAAAU